rnacentral:rRNA from 1 species
AACGAACGCUGGCGGCAUGCCUAACACAUGCAAGUCGAACGAAGGCUUCGGCCUUAGUGGCGCACGGGUGCGUAACGCGUGGGAAUCUGCCCUUUGCUUCGGAAUAUCAGUUAGAAAUGACUGCUAAUACCGGAUGAUGUCGCAAGACCAAAGAUUUAUCGGCAAAGGAUGAGCCCGCGUAGGAUUAGCUAGUUGGUGGGGUAAAGGCCUACCAAGGCGACGAUCCUUAGCUGGUCUGAGAGGAUGAUCAGCCACACUGGGACUGAGACACGGCCCAGACUCCUACGGGAGGCAGCAGUGGGGAAUAUUGGACAAUGGGCGAAAGCCUGAUCCAGCAAUGCCGCGUGAGUGAUGAAGGCCUUAGGGUUGUAAAGCUCUUUUACCCGGGAUGAUAAUGACAGUACCGGGAGAAUAAGCUCCGGCUAACUCCGUG